rnacentral:rRNA from 1 species
AGGGCGUACGGAGGAUGCCUAGGCGCUAAGAGCCGAUGAAGGACGUAGAAAGCUGCGAUAAGCUUCGGGGAGCCGCAAGCAGGCUUUGAUCCGGAGAUUUCCGAAUGGGGCAACCCACUUGAGGUCAUGCUCAAGUAUCCCGCAAGGGAGGGGAACCGGGGGAACUGAAACAUCUAAGUACCCCGAGGAAAAGUAAUCAAAUGAGAUUCCCGCAGUAGCGGCGAGCGAACCGGGAAAAAGCCCAAACCAAGGGAGGCAACUCGCUUGGGGUUGAGGACCAACAGAAGUUUGCACGAUUUAGCUGAACGACCUGGGAAGGCCGGCCAGAGAAGGUAAAAGCCCUGUAAGCAAAAGAUCGGGUAAAUGGUUGGGAUCCAGAGUACCACGGGACACGAGAAACCCUGUGGGAAGCAGGGGGGACCAUCCUCCAAGGCAAAAUACUACUUAGCGACCGAUAGCGUAUAGUACCGUGAGGGAAAGGUGAAAAGCACCCCGGGAGGGGAGUGAAAUAGUACCUGAAACCGUAUGCCUACAAGCAGUCGAAGCACCGUAAGCGUGUGACGGCGUGCCUAUUGAAGAAUGAACCGACGAGUUACAGUGGCAAGCGAGGUUAAGCAGGAGAUGCGGAGCCGAAGCGAAAGCGAGUCUGAAAAGGGCGUUAGUUUGUCAUAGUAGACCCGAAACCGGGUGAUCUAUCCAUGGCCAGGGUGAAGCGCGGGUAAAAGCGCGUGGAGGCCCGAACCCAUUAGCGUUGAAAAGCUACGGGAUGAGUUGUGGAUAGGGGUGAAAUGCCAAUCGAACCCGGAGAUAGCUGGUUCUCCCCGAAAUAGCUUUAGGGCUAGCCUCAAAGGUAAGUAUCGGCGGUAGAGCACUGAUUGGGCUAGGGGCCUUUCCGGGUUACCGAACCUUGUCAAACUGCGAAUGGCGAUACUUUAGACUUUGGGAGUCAGACUGCGAGUGCUAAGAUCCGUAGUCAAAAGGGAAACAGCCCAGACCGUCAGUUAAGGUCCCAAAUGUCACACUAAGUGGAGAAGGAUGUGGCGUUGCUAAAACAACCAGGAUGUUGGCUUAGAAGCAGCCACCAUUUAAAGAGUGCGUAAUAGCUCACUGGUCGAGUGGCGCUGCGCCGAGAAUGUCCGGGGCUCAAGUGUGAAACCGAAACUGCGGCUUGUUCGACAUUCGACUUGCGACUUUCGACAUUCGAUAAAUAAAAAAAUCGAAAAUCGAAGGUCGAAGGUCGAGUGUCGAGCAGGGGUAGGGGAGCGUUCUAUACGGGGCGAAGCAUGACCGUAAGGACAUGUGGACUGUAUAGAAGAGAGAAUGUCGGUAUGAGUAGCGAUAAGACAGGUGAGAAUCCUGUCCACCGAAAGCCUAAGGUUUCCUGAGCAACGCUCGUCGUCUCAGGGUAAGUCGGGACCUAAGCCGAGGCAAAAUGCGUAGGCGAUGGACAGCUGGUUGAUAUUCCAGCACCACCAAAGGAUCGAUUGAGCAAUGGAGUGACGCAGGAGGGUAGGCAAGCGCGUGAUUGGAAUACGCGUCUAAGCCCGUAGGAUGAUGUGCAGGCAAAUCCGCACAUUGAAAGUCCAAGAGGUGACGGGGAGUUGUAGAAAUACGACGAACUUGUUGACCCCACACUGCCAAGAAAAGCUUCUAGCGAGAUCUGAGGUGCCCGUACCGUAAACCGACACAGGUAGGCGGGAAGAGAAUUCUAAGGUGCUCGGGAGAACCCUCGUUAAGGAACUCGGCAAAAUGUCCCCGUAACUUCGGGAGAAGGGGAGCCAGCCGGUGUGAAACUUAUACAGUGUAAGCAAUGGUUGGCCGCAGAAGAGAGGCCCAAGCGACUGUUUACCACAAACACAGGUCCCUGCUAAGGAGGAAUCCGACGUAUAGGGGCUGACGCCUGCCCAGUGCCGGAAGGUUAAGGGGAGAGGUUAGCGCAAGCGAAGCUUUGAACCGAAGCCCCGGUGAACGGCGGCCGUAACUAUAACGGUCCUAAGGUAGCGAAAUUCCUUGUCGGGUAAGUUCCGACCCGCACGAAAGGCGUAACGACUUGGGCACUGUCUCAACGAGGGACCCGGUGAAAUUGAAAUACCUGUGAAGAUGCAGGUUACCCGCGACUGGACAGAAAGACCCCAUGGAGCUUUACUGCAGCCUGACAUUGAGUUUUGGCAUGUAAUGUACAGGAUAGGUGGGAGACUGGGAAUUAUGGACGCAAGUCUGUAAGGAGUCAACGUUGGGAUACCACCCUUUACAUGCUGAAAUUCUAACUGAGGAAGUAACGAUUUCCAGGACAGUGUCAGGUGGGCAGUUUGACUGGGGCGGUCGCCUCCUAAAAAGUAACGGAGGCGCCCAAAGGUUCCCUCAGCGCGGUUGGAAAUCGCGCGCAGAGUGCAAAGGCAGAAGGGAGCCUGACUGCGAGACAAACAAGUCGAGCAGAGACGAAAGUCGGGCUUAGUGAUCCGGUGGUUCCGAGUGGAAGGGCCAUCGCUCAACGGAUAAAAGCUACCCCGGGGAUAACAGGCUUAUCUCCCCCAAGAGUCCACAUCGACGGGGAGGUUUGGCACCUCGAUGUCGGCUCAUCGCAUCCUGGGGCUGAAGUAGGUCCCAAGGGUUGGGCUGUUCGCCCAUUAAAGCGGUACGUGAGCUGGGUUCAGAACGUCGUGAGACAGUUCGGUCCCUAUCCGUCGCGGGCGUAGGAGAUUUGAAGGGAACUGCCCCUAGUACGAGAGGACCGGGGUGGACGAACCAAUGGUGUACCAGUUAUCGCGCCAGCGGUACAGCUGGGUAGCUACGUUCGGAAAGGAUAAACGCUGAAAGCAUCUAAGCGUGAAACCAGCCUUAAGAUGAGAUCUCCCAUGGAAUAAUCCAGUAAGACCCCUCAGAGAAGAUGAGGUAGAUAGGCCAGGUGU